UAUAAUGAGAUCUGAUGUCUUCUUCUGGU
rnacentral:piRNA from 1 species